GCUUGAGAAGAUGGAAUUGCUGGAAAUGGGGUCUGAAACCCCCUCUGACACUGAUGAAGUAGAGAUCAAAAGGUUCAUGGCCACUUGCAUUUGUUUUGACCAAUUUCUGAGGUUGACCCAAGUUGAGAGCUAUGUAGAAAGCAAAGCAGAGACACACUUGGAUGAUAACAGUGCAUGCCCAAGAUGUUUUCUCCAUUUGGAUCACCUUGUAAUCCAAACAACAUACGAUGUAAGAACCAACAACCUAUUCGCUGAUUGAUGUUAGAUCUGAAUUAUGAUGACACUAGAAUUGUAUGAUCUAUAUUUGCCCACGUUGGACAUGUGAUUGCUGACAUUAAAUUUGAUUCCAUCCAUGUUAUCCAGUACUGCCUUGUCGCUUUGUUGGAAUAUCUUGACACAGUCUUUUACCUGAUUAGUGAUUACCAUAUAAGACUUAUUCUUGUGUCUGUGUUAUGUUCAUUGGAAGAGCAAUGAUAAAUGAUUGAGUGAAGCGGAACGAGAUUAUCGAAUGGAAUAGUUUUACCAAUAUAGUUUUAUUCACACCAUAAGACACGGACUUCACCUUGCAAUAAAUGAAGAAAAAUGAGAGAUACUAUGCGUGAUGAUAUGAUAGGAGUCAAGGUGAUUGAUAAGAAGAAAUAUAGAGUGAAUUUGAAAUGAAAGAGAAAGUGAAGUGUAAAUGAAUCAAAACUCACUUUAGUUAUAUUGUUGGGUGAAGUUUAAUGAUUUACAUGCUGUUAACAACCACCACAAAAUUCCUAACCUAUAUUAAUCAUGGAAGUGGGGAAAUAAGUUUAAUUUUUAUGCACUGAUAAUGUGAAGAGAAAAAAAAAGCUAGAAGAAGGCGUCUAUCAUGGAGAAGCUGACGGAAAAUCAAUUAAAGUAGUAUGAACAUAUACAAGGAAGACCUUUUGAGGCGCCAAUGAGAAUGGUUGAUAACAUGAUAUUUAGUCAUGGGAAGAGGUAGAGGGAGCCAAAAAAAACUUGGGAAUAACUAUAAAAAGUUAUCUCGUUUACAAUCCCUCAUAAUCAGGUUUUCAAUCGAGCUCAAUGAGAUAGAAUUAUUCAUAUAGCUGACCUCACUUAGUGGAAUAAUGUUUUUAUUGUCGUUAUCAGUGUAAAAACAAUUUACAUUGACACUCAGUCGUAAUAUGUUUGUUAUUUUCAAAAUUUUGAAUUCGAGAAGACGCUACAGAGCAUCGGUUCUCGAGACAAGAAUAUGUGAAUCGAGUGUUAUUAGAACCCAGCGCCUCGAAGCAUGGUGAAAAGUGUAGAGCUAAACUAGAAAAGAAGUGUAAUAUUGGCUAAGAGAUGGACGAUCUUGGAUCGAACAAGAGCGUACUCGAGAAGCCAAAGGGGUCGAGAAAAGGAAGGUCUAACACUUAAACAAAUUUUGCCCAAGGUUAAGGGAGACGUAUCUUAAGGAAAGUGGUUUGAAGGCAGUGUGUUGAAACUCAAAGACACGGUUAGAGGUCUUUGUGUUUCAGAUCCCACUAUCCCGUGAUCCGGAAGUUUCGUGCACUAACACCACGUUGAAACUCAGACACGAUUAGAGGUCUUUGUGUUUCAGAUCCCAAUAUCCCAUGAUCCGGAAGUUUCGUGCACUAACACCACGUACUCACAUAGCAAAGGUUACUUGACAAAGAAAGGAGACGACUAACUCAAAGCCAGGGUUGGUACUCAAGAAGAUUGGUUUGAAGAGUUGCAAGGCAUGCCUUUAUUUUUUUUUUUGAUAAUUUGGAGGGUCUGAGACCCGUUGCAAGGCAUGCCUUAAUACUAUGAGAGAAUUGCACCCGUAUUUACACUUAAAUCUAGCCUAGUUUUCCGGUUAUGAAUACUGAAAAUAAAUUUUCUGACGCAGAAGAGAUAGAAUGAGUCGGACGGGAGGGAUACUGGGAUAGAAUGGUUAACACUAAAUAAGGUGACAUCCAAUUGCACAUGUAGAUUAUUUUUUAUUGCCAUGGAUUGUGAUUGAACCAGUUAAAAUCGCUUCCCUUUUAACAUGUAUAUAUGUUCAUAAGAUCACAUAAAUAAAUAAAUAAAUAAAUAAAUAAAACUGAGACACGACUUAGGUUGAAAGACUUGAAAGUGGUAAUAAAUUAUGCUUCUAUCCUCUUUUAUAACUUGUUGAAUUUCCUAACCUAUAUCUAUAUCAUUUGAUCUCUAGGUACAACAAAGGCCUCAUCGCUUAAGUUUCAUAAUUCCCGCGUGAAAAAAAAAAAUUAUAGGAAAAAUGAAUAAUCAGUGCUUGCUAACCGUCUACAACAAGGAAAAAAAUAAUUCAUGGCAUGUAUAAUUAAACUAAAACAUUUAGAGUAAAAUACACUCACCCCCUCAAGAUUUGCAAGAAUGACACUCCACCCCAUUCUUUUUAAAAAUCUACACUCCACCCCAUUUUUUAUAAAGGCAAAUUUUAGUGACGAAAACAAAUUCCUCACUACUAAAAACUAAUUACUAAUUAGUAAAAAUUUAAAUAAAUUUAAUGCAUAUACACUAUCAUACAUUAAUUUAUGAAAAUAAUUUUACUGAAUUAAAUUUAAAAAAACCAUUCACUCUGUCUGUUAAGUCCACGUCCCAUCUAUCUCCAAAUCAUAUUUCUCACCACAAACGGCCACCACCAAGCCUUUACUCCCUUUAACACGGCUCCACUGUCCCACAAUGUGAAACCCCAUGGCACCUCCAUGCCUCAAAGUUUUGUUGCGACCUGAACCCCAGAACGUGAAUCGCACAUCCCUAAAGCCACUUGUUCAACUACUUCUUGUGAAUUUCACCCCUUGAAGUUGUGAGCAAACGCUCUGUUGGUCUUAGAUAUUGUUGGAUUUUGUUAAAAACGAUGCUCCACCGCCUCGUUGGGCUCUAAUAACCUCAGAUCCACUUCAUAUUUUCAUAAUUUUGUUUCUCUAUUUUCUUCACCCAUUUGUGUUGCUUUUUUGGCCUACAACCCAAUUUUGAAAAUUGGAGGUAUAAAGAGAUUAUUUUGAUUAAAAUUGAAUUAUUACCAAAUAUGAAAACACAAGCAUGUUUCACUAUAUUCGAGAUAUGGUUUGUAAAUCGGGCAGGUGUGCUAUUGCAUAAUUUGCAUUAUGAAUUUACGGAGGAAAAACGCGAUUGAGAGAAUGAGGAGGAUUGUGAUGUUUUCAUUUUUAAAUUUAUUGGAUUAUAUUGAUUUUUUUUUUUGAAAUUAUUGAUUAACAAUUUAAAUAAUAACUAAUUAUUAAUGAAAAAUAUUUUUCGUCACUAAAUUUGCCUCUAUAUAAAAUGGGGUGGGAUGUAGAUUUUAGAUAAGAAUGGGGUGGAGUGUAAUUCUAACAAACCUUAAGGGGGGUGAGUGUACUUUACUCAAACAUUUAUGAUGUGAAUGGAUGGUGAGUGAACUCACCUGAAAGCAUUUAUGUGUAUCCUUUAUACCCUGUCAUUAAAGCAUUUAUGUGUAUCAUUGUUUUUGUUUUUCAAAUUUUGGGAAUAGAAACUGGUUUGUAUGAUGUGAAUGGAUGGUGAGUGAACUCACCUGAAAGGGAAAAUGAUCAGGUCCACGAGCUGGGGCAGAAUUUAUCUGAACUGUGCCUGUCUCCAUUGCAUCACUGAUCAAUAUUGCUUUGUUCACAUCCUUUGUGAAGACACAACCCUACACAAGUUCAAUGUGUUGAAACAAAUCAUCAUAGACAAGUUCGCAAAUGAAAUGAAUCUACUUUGUGCAUGCUUGAAAAUCCUUCUAUAAUUUAUUCUGAAGUCAAACUCAAUUCUAGAGAGAAGUUUCUGGGUGUCAGAUUCUGAUGAAAGAAUAGUUGAUCCAAACAUGUACAAAGUCAAUGCUAAAAUUCUACCUGAAGUCCAAAAUUGCUAGAAUUACAAUGGUGGAUCCCUUCUUCAAUGGAAUUGAUCCUAAUAACAGGCAAAACUGGUCCAAAUGGCUCCUCCCAUGCAAUUCUCAUAUCAGGCCUAACAUUAUCAAGCAGCAAGGGCCAAAUGAGAUUCCCUUCCCUUCUAUACACCUGGCAGAAUGUUGCUCCUUUCUUUUUAGCAUCCAAGACCAGGCCUUCAAUGAAAUUGGCUGAGGAUUCUGAAACAACUGGGGUGAUAUCAGAGUUAUCUUCUGGUGCUCCAACACUUAGUUUGGCCACCCUAGCCUUCACUUUCUCAACCAAUUUAUCAGCAACAGUUUCCAUCACUAAGACAACCUUAACAGCUGUGCAUCUCUGACCACUUUUGUAGAUAAAGUGAACAACAAAACAAGUGGUUAAUACAUAAAAGAAAUUCCUUUGGAAUGGGAGUUAAAUUAAAACACCAAAGUGUCACCAAAAGCCUGAGUAUAGGGAAGAAUUUAGUGUGAUUUUCCUAUGUCAUAGCAUUAUGGAAAACAACGCUACAUACUAACUAAGUAUUGAGCACAAAGAAGCAUGUAGUGUCAUUGUUUGAUGUGAAGUUGUGAACUGAGAAUUCAAAAUAACACACAUAAUAUUGUCAUUAUCAAAUCAAUGCAAAAUGGAGUAUAAUUAUUAGAAUUGUUGGAUAUCAAGAGCGUGAAAGUUUGCAGGACAAAACAUCUGCAAGCUCUGAUACCAUCUAGAACUUGGGGUAGAAUUAUACCUGACCAAAGUUCUAAUAAAAAUUCAACCCGUAUCCCUUUCCCAAGAGAAGCAAAUUCAGAUAUGCCAUUCACCUGUAUGAAAAGCCUCCUUUUAUAAUGUUUGAAGCCACCAAAUCCAGGUCCGCAUCCUCAAGUACAAUGCAGGCAUCCUUUCCUCCAAGCUCCAUUUGCAAAGGAAUCAUGCCUGCCUUCUUUGAAAUUGCAAUACCAGUAUCUCCACCAGUGAAGCUGACAGACAGAUAAACAAAGGAAAAGUCAAAACUGACCAAAUUGAAAUAGGUAGGGGAUAUGAGGUACCAUACCAUCACAUACAUCAUAAAACAAUGAAUAAACAAUCACCUUAUGCAAUUCACUCCUGGAUGCAUAGUAAGGAAGUCACCAAUUUCUGAGCCUUUGCCUGUGACACAACUUAUUAGGCCUUUGGGAAAACCAGCCAGGUGAAAACAAUGCACCAUGUGAAGAGCAGAAACAGCUCCCUGAAAUGCAUCAUCACAAUGUUAAAAGAUUGGAAGAAAUUAAAAGAUUUAAAAUCUUAGUAACAAUCUGAACACUUAUUGGUUCUUCCAUUGAGGUUGACAACAAGUAUUUCUAGCAUCGCAGUAGCGAAGAUUAUGAUACAAGUAUUUUGUACAAGCCUGAAUUUUGUGUUCUGGUAAAAUAGUAGUUAUCUUUUUUUUACAGAUGGACACAAUCUAGUGACUUGAGCUAUUGGCUAUUGAUGUGAGAGUAUAAACAUUACCUGGGUUGGAGGCUUGAGCACAAUUGAGUUUCCGGCGAUCAGCGCAGGAGCAAUUUUUGAGACAGCAAGGUUGACAGGAUAGUUAAAAGGCGGGAUAGCUAAAAUCACUCCUAAUGGAACCUGAAGAACCCAUUUAAACCAUAUCAUAUUCCAAGAGAAAUAAUAAGGUAUCAGAUUGCUUGUCAUAAAAGUUACUAAGAUGAUGAAAUGUUAUAAAAUAUUGGAUUAUAUGCACUCAAACAUUAGAUCAUGCGGAAGUUUGUAACUUCAAAAAAAAGUGCUGGCAUGUUGAAUUUUUAGAAGUUACAGUGUAGUAAAAUGAGUUUCAUACAGAAUGUAAGUUCUGAAAUUAACCUUUGAUGUGAGGCAAUAUUUUGUCCUUUCAUUUCCAGGAAAGCUAUCUGACACCAAGAACUUCCCCUCUCCCAAAAUUCUUACCCCCUCUUCAGCACAAUAAGAAACCAGAUCUCCUGACCUCACAACCUUUAUCAAAAACAUUAAAUAUUUAUUAUUUUCAUGAUUCAAAUUUCUGAUCCUAAUCAAAAUUUUCCUUAACCAAUAACAACAUGGUCUGCACCUCUGUAACUGCAUCUUUGGCUGGCUUUGCUAUUUCUUUGACCAGGCACUCAGCAAUUGGAUCUCUAUGUUCUAUGAGAAUAGCAGCUGCCUUGUGUAGAAGCUCAGCCCGCUUCCAGAGCGGGGUCUUUGCCCAUGACUUUUGUGCUGAUUUUGCUGAAUCCAUUACCUUAUUAACUUCUUCUUGUGAACAAGCUGCAUCAAUAUCAUUUCAGAGCCUAUUACACUCAGCUAUCUCUUGUUACUAAUUUAAAAACUGAAGCUUACAGCAUGUUUAGAUCAACUUAUUUUUUCUCAGAAUCAAUUCUGAAACCUAGAAGCUGCAUAAGCUUCUCCGAAGAAGAAAGAAUUAAUUCUAGUUCUACUAUAAAUUGUAGAAGGAUUUCCAAAUAUGCACUUAGAAUAUGCACAAACUUUAUCAACAUAGAGUGAGAAAAAAAAAAGUAAUUAACUAGAAUGUAGGACUUUAGAUGCUAGAGAAAAUGGUGUGUCAUAACAUCCUUUUGGUAGUUGAUUACCUUGAACUUUGUAUUGAGUCUUCCUAGUAGUGGGAUUGAUGAUGGAAACACUUUUUCCUGAAGAAGAUUUUGUCCAUUCUCCACAAGAGUAGUACUUGUAUACUUCACCAUCCAAGAUUUCAGCAAACAAUCCAGUUCCAGCCAUGUUCCAAAUUAUGCAAAUUUUCUCUUUAGACCGAACGAUUUAUAAUAUAAUGUGUUGAGAAAGAGAGAAGUAUAAGGUUAGGAGGAGGAGGAGGUAAUGGUGAAGUGUGGUUUUGGUUAUGUGAGACUGUGGGUGAUGGUUUGGUGAGUGAUCCUAUGAUGCGUUUGUUUAUUAUAUAAAGGGAAUGUGAGAACAAGGUAUUAACUUGGGACGAACGAGGUUAGGUGGUUCAAUUUCCAGCAUGCCAUGCAAUGUAGGUGAGGUUUAAAUAUCUCAAUCUCCAUCUCCUUGUCCUAUACUGACAGUGACACUAUGUUAGGAUGACUUUCACUCACAAAACAGUUAAACUUGUAUCAAAUGUUUGUUAUAUCCUCCCUUGAGAGAAAAGUGGCAUGUAUAGGAAUGGAAUUAAGAACAGAGAAGUGUACAAGCAUGCUUUGAGAAGUUACGGCUAAGAUUAAUUUUAAUGAAAAAUAACUUAUCAAAUUAAUUAGUUGAUGGUGAUUUGUAUGCUUUUGGAGUUGGUUGAGGUAAACUGAAAUAUGAAACUUACAUACACAAUGGUGGUUUGUCACGAGAAAAUUGAACCAAUUUUUAUCACGAGAAAUUUUUGAAAGUUAAUGAGUUAACAUUUGCUAGGCUUUCUAUGUUUAUAACAAAUGGACCACAUAGACAUUGGUUUGGUGUUUAAAUCAAACAGCAUUGCCUACCACUCGGACCCCUCAAGCUCAUCCCAUAUUUUGGUCUAGAACUCAUCGAAGUAGUGGUGGCCCAUCUUUAGGAUGACGAUAAAAAGCAACUACAAUUGGGUUUUUCCUUUUUCUAGUGUGACUUUUUCCCUUCUUUCCUCCUCACUGGCUUAGCCACCACCGGAAUUCCCUGCCUCCGCUCCCGCUGCGGCCUUCCUGCACCCCUGCCGCCGUGUGUCUCUAUUGGUGGUUUUUUGUUAUUUUUUUCUCUCUCGUGUUAGGCUUACAACAUGUUUCAUGGGUGAUUUUAGUGCAUGCUAACUAGGAUGCAUGCUAUGUUGCACUGCUCUUUCUAGAGUUCGAGUCUCUUAUUUUAGUGACGUUUAGCUUGGUGUUUGCCUUAAUCUUAUCAACAACAACAAAAAAAGGGAUGAAAUUCAUUAGCAAGGAAUUCCUAGCCGUUAAUGUGACACUAACAAUCAAUAGCCAUAAGAUGCAUUCAGGGCAUAUAACCAUAACUAGAACAGUUUAAAAUAAGAUCCCUUAUUUUUGUCAUGUUGUCAUAUAAAGUCAAAUGCUUAUAAAACUUUCUUUAUAAGAAUUUCAUUCAUGCAGCUAUGUUUUAAAUAUUUUGAUUUGUCUCUAUAAAGCAAGCAUGGUAUGCUAGGUUGAGAUGAGUUUGGCGCUCUUGAAGAACUAGAAAAGAAAAACAUAAGAGCUGAACACUCAAUUGAAUAUAGAAUUAGCACUAAAUAUACUACUAAAAAUAAGUAUUUGAUAAACCAAACAUCACAAAAUUAACCAUAUCUUUCAAACUCCCUAAGAACACCCAACUGAAAUAUAGCAUUAGCACUUAAUAGUUUGCGCUGCACAAAAAGCAAAAUGGUAGUAAAAUAGUUAGCUGCAUUUGGACUCGCCACUCACCAACCAUCACCUCAUUUCUUAACACCACGUUUUGCAUAAGCAAUGGCUUCUGUUACAGUGGCUCUACGUCCAGUUCUGAAGUUCCAAAGCUCAGUUUUGAUACUUCUCCUCCCACUUGGAUUGAGAGUGUUCUUUCCACUGUCUGAAGAUGAAGAAUCUUCCUCAUCCACCAACUCCUUCAAAGCAGUCACCACAGCUACAUAAACCUCCUCUCCAAGAUCUUCCUUUAAAGCUAGCAGUUUCUCAUCAUCUUCAUCAAUUACUUUCUGCAAAAAGAAAAACAUCAAAUAGCAUAAAGAUUGUUUUGGACCUCUAUGAGUUCUUUUUCAAGAUAUAGAUGCUUAUACAAAAAAUGUGGUCAGUUAUUCAAAAUAUACCUGUUUUCUCCCCCCUUCAACUUCAAUAAUCUUGAAAGGGUUCCAAGUUGAAUCUAGUAUUUCGUUUUGCCACUUCAAGUGUAGUUGUUUAGCAGACUCCAAUGAUGCUUUACCUUUAUAUUUAUUCUUGCGCACCUUUUGAAAUGGUUGAGCAUUGAUCUCGCCAAAUUUCUUCACUCCAAUAGAGGUGAACCUUUUCAAACGCUUUGGCAACACCUAAAUUGUAAAGCAAAAAGCCUUCAACUAGUUAGAGCAAAGAAACAAUCAAUUUGUCAUAAAUCAUCACUGUAGUCAAAGGUGAUAGCAUUGUUAUUAACAAGAUAAAUAUUAUAGGACUAUGAAGGAAAUGAAAACAUUACUGCAAUGAAUUCUUGUCGAGCAUCUUCUAGUUCCCUCUUAGCUAAUUGUUCUUUCAUCUCGAGAACUUGAUUAAAAUCUUCUUUUUCAGACAUGUCCUCAAUCAUCUCCUGCAGUUUUUCUUCCAUCUCUUCUAUUUCUUUCUUACUAAUUUUACCCUUUUCAGAAUCAGCUCCCAUCACAUUCAUACACUUCAAAACCUUCAGUUGCCCUUCUAGUUCAGCAAUCUCUAACUUCAGCUUAUGCUCAUCAUUCAGAUCUUUCUCCAGCUUCAAAAGUGUAUCUCUCAUAGCCUUUUCCUCCAUCUGAAAAGAAUAUAUUUGCAAUAUUCAUUGAUUAGCAAAAAGGAAACCAAACUUGAGGCUUAACAACACUGUAUGACAAACCUUGUGUUUCUUAAGCAACUCAGCCAUAUCAUCUUUGGCCUUCACCUGCUCCUCUGAUGCUAAAAUUAGUGAUUCUGUUUUCUACACACUCAAAAUUGAUAUUAGACUUUGCACACUGUCAUUAACAAAUUACAAUAUAGGAUCCAAAUUCUAUUCAAAGAUUUACCUUUUUCUUUUGUUCCUCAAAUUUUCUUCUCUCAUGUAUAGUUGACUUCUCCUUUUCACUCAGUUGCUGACCCAAGCGAGCAAGUUCAUCAUUCCUUGUAUAAAUUUGGUUCUUUAAAUUUUCAGUCUCUUCUAUUAUUCUUCUAGCAUGUUCACGUGCAUUCUGUUCCAUCCUCUGCAUCUCUGGAGCAAAUUAAGCAUGUGUUUGGUUAUCUAUUUACAUAAGAUAUUCACAAGCUAAUAAGGAGAAGAAAAUAAUUUCUAAAAGAUAAACUUUAUUGAGUAAAUUCCUCUGUUUCCCCUGGACAGGAGAACCAGAGAAUGAAAGUGAUUGAUUACAAGAAGAAAACUCUGGAUAUUUGAGUGAUCCAUUGCACUCCAUAAUUCCCUACCAAUUUCCAACCCUUAUAUACUCUCCUAGUUAGUCACAACUGGUCCCCAUAGUUAUAUAACUAAGUAACUAACUAUAACAGUUAUAACAAUUGAAUCCAUUAGGUUAUAACUUAUAAGUAACAUUAUGGUAUACUAAUUUCGACUAACUUAUACUGAGAGUUCAGGGUUAUCUUUCCUUGCACCUCUCUUACAUUUCCUAUCAUAGGCCCUUUAAGAUAAAAAGUGAACUGAACUCUUCUCAAACAUCGAUUUGAAACACAUGUGGUACUCAAAUGUAUUCAAACACACACUAAAACUCAUACAUCCAAGCAAGAAAAUAUAUAUACUAAAAUGUAUGCUUAAGGGUAAAAAGGAUAUAAGUAAUUAAGAGCAUGCACUGCAAAUUUGUUUCAAACUGCUAUUAAAGAAAGUAGCCAGUGACAUCUUCAUUAGUAGGGUAGAGUUACAAUUCACAAACCUUCAAUACGAUCUUGGUGAAGUUUCUCCCUCUCUGCCAUUAUGUUCAUCAAUGACAAGCUUCUCUCAGAGUAAUUAGUUUCCACUUCACAAAUAUUCAUGUUUGUAGACUCUAUUUCCCCAACCAAAUUGGCCACUUUUUUAGUCUGUUCUUUCGAUGCAUCUUGUGAAACCUCAGAAACUGUUUUCAGCACUGCCUUCUCACGAAGAUAAUCACCAACAACCCCUUUUGAGUUGUAGUCCUCAGCUCCUCCAAUCCAAGCAUACAAAUCUGAACCAGGCCACUCCAUCUGUGAGUCCCAGUCCUUCUUUCCAUGACAAUCAGUUUGAAAAUCUGUGUCUAACUUCAUCACUUGCCUGUAGCCUGUCCAUUCUGUUCCAAAUUCCAGCACAACAUAUCCUCUAGGAUCAUCUUUACCAUGAUGCAGCACAUGAGCUUCUUUUGGUUUAUACAGUUCAAACUUUUUCAGCCAAUACUCUUCUGUCUCAUUCUUUGGCUUCCUGAAUAUGCUACCUACAAUCCCUUUCCAAGGCCAAACAAACCUCUCUUCUAUGAUUGGUUCCUCAUUGGCCACUUCCAACUGAGGAGGCUUAACAACAAUAUCCAACUCAGUGCUGACAUCCUCUUUCAAGUAUUUUGCCAAUGCAAGGUGCUUAACCCUGACUUGCAUGCUUCUUUUUGCUGAGCCUGUUCCUAUUCCAGAAGCAUGUUGAAGAAGAUCUUUAAACUGAAACUCUUGCUUCUUUUUGCCUUCACAGAAAGGGCACCUCAAGGUGGCAUUUGAAUUCUUGGUCCUGUAUUUCCCAGCUUUGAUUUCAUCAUAGUACCUCUCCAUGUAAUCAUACUUCUCUGACUCACUUAUUUCUGAAUCUGUAUUUGAACUGCUACUACCCAUUGAAGCAAGCUGAUUAAUGUUUCCUAAGAAAUCAAUCUAUGUUCUGAAAAAAGAAAUAAACACACAAAUUACUAAACAAGUUAGAAUUUUUAUAAUAGAGCUAGCUUUAAUAGUAACUCUCACUUAUUUAUUACAAUAUUCCACUUUGUUACAAAUAUGAAAAAUGCAUGUAAAAUGAAAAGGAAAUGUGAACAGACAAAGGGGACAGAACUAAGCAUAUAUGAACACUAGGCAGUGUUUAUUGGCAAGAUGGGGGUGGUGGUAAGAUGAAAGGUUGUCAACAUAAAUUUUCAGCUAUGCAGAUGGAACUUUAUGAAGAAUAUGAAUCAGUGUUCUUUAUUAUAACUUUCUUUGUAAUGAAGAGUUACUAUUUAUUUUUUAGCAAAGGGGACAGACCUGAAGAAUGGUCUGGUGGUGAAUGAAUCUGCAACUCAAUGGAGCUACUGGUAGAGUGUGGUUAUGGUGAAAAAGGUGGUGCCUUUUUAUGGUGAGGAAGAAGAAGCUAAGGGUGCAAGGGAAGGAUGAUGAAGAAGGGUCAUGUUGAAAGAUUAGUAGUGUGAGUGUGUGUGAGUGUUACUUGCUGUGGUGCUUGUGUGAGAAUAUAACGGCCUCUUUCCUAGUCUGCUGUACUAGGUGCACUGCAUGCCGAGUGAGACACGCUGCUCUGUCAUUUUAGAGGUGUGUGCUGGUGCCUGGUGUGUACGUGAUGAGGUGAGUCUGCAGAGAGAGAGAGAGAGAGAUUCGGUUAGUACUAAUGAAAUGGAAAGGAAAUGUUUACUACACAUUAAUUCAAGUGAGAAAGAUAUGAAUAGAAGAGACAAAAGUGAGAGGUAUGAUGAGAAAAGAAGUGAGAAAUAAGUAGAGGAAGUCCAUAUGAGAUUAAAGAGAAAGAGUGAUAUGAAAAGUAUGAAAAGAUGAGCUGACGUGAGCUUUCCGACGACCUCCGGUGGUUAGAGAACAUCCGCUAAAUUGUUUGUCGAUUGAAUUUCUGCUAAAAAAUGAAUGUUCACGUAUAAUUACUCAUAAUGAUAUGUUAACACCCGUAAUUUUAAAGGUAUGUGCACACAGUUAAAUGUUUUGAUUCAUCUCGAAUUACAUAUCAAUUUGAUGUGGGAGGUGCUGCUCUACCUUCACGAUAACUAUCAACUCACUCAGACAAAGAACUAUAAAUUGAAACAAGUGUUUAGACAGAAACUCUUUCAAAAUCCAGUUAUGAAGCUAUUGAUGAACUUUCAUCAUUUAAUAAAUGUCUUAUAUGUAAAAAGGCAGAUUUGUAAUGUAUGUGGUGGUUCGAAAACACACACGCACACAUAUAUUACACUAUUGUUUUAAAUGACAUAACAGAUAAAAAUGUGCAAGUUAUUUCCACGAAUGUGACAUUUUCAUUCGCAACAGAGAAGGAGUUUUCUCGUUCAUGUUAAAUCAGUUAUUUACGACGUAAUUCAUCAGUAAUAUCCUACACUAAUUAGUUCCUAGACCGUCGAUAAAUUACUGGCAAACUAAACGACGAUAACUUAACCAUCGAUAAUUUAUCGAUAGACUAAUUCAUCGAUUGGUAAGUUACCGAUGACUUUGUAAAAAAAAUCUUAAUUGAACACUUUAAUUGCCAAUGUCUUCCCUUAUUACGAAAGUAACAAAAUCACAACAUAUAACAUUCCUUUCUCUAGCACAUCGCCACCAAAUUUGAGCUGUUCUCCGGGGCAUUCUCUAAUAGGAUAUCUCUUGUUAUUUAUUUUUCUAUGCUCCUCUCCUUGAUCAAUCCAAGUUUAUUCGCUUUAUUUUUAUUUUGUUCUUAUUUAUUAUUGUGCUUCAGUUAAGAAAAAAAUCAAAAAGUUGAUUAAGAUUAAAAUUUUAAAUUUGACACCUUGUUAUUGCAUUUUCCUUUUAAUAUGUUUUAUUUUCAAAUAAAAAAUGUGAACUGUUUUAAUUCAAAGGUGGGAUUUUUAAUUCAAUGGAAGUGUUUGAGAAGGGUAGAAUGAGGGCGUGGGAGUGGCUGCGAGCUAAAAAUACUAAUUUUAUUCAUGCUACGGCUGAAUGGUACAAUGAGCCACUUGCUUGUCUAGCUGAUAUGAGUCCGGGCUGAAGGGUGUUAUGCAAUGCAUAAGUUGCUGGUUUAGCUCUCAUUAUUAGUGGACUGUUUACAGAGUUAUUUAUUGUCUACUCAAAGUUACUCUAAUUUUUUUCUGUUUUGUGAGAUUGCGAUUCCCGGGCUCGUUCCUCAUUGUGUUGCUGUGUUUUUUGGAUACUUUGGAAUCUGAUGAUGACUGUUGUGCAUAUUGCUGCUGCUCUAUAUGGGAAAGGGAGGCUUGUGGUGAUAUUGUUGGCUUUUAUAUUAUAUUGUUAUGGAUAUUGCUUGCUGGAGGCUCUUGGAAUCAACCCGCUGUAGCUAAAUGAGGGAAGGAGGGCUUUUGAAGGAUUGUCUUAGAGGAGCUAGUCACCUAUGUGGUCUCUGGCUGUUGCAUUAUUUGAAGACUUUGGUGUGGACUGUAGGACAUUUCCUAAUUUUCUAGGUAUUUUGUAUAGUCCUCCUUGGAUAAUUCCACUUGAUUGUUGAAAUUUUGUACUCUUUUUCCUUCACCGGGUUUUCCCAAGGAGGUUUUUCCCGGUAAGGUUUUAAUGAGGCAUAAUUCCUUUAAUCUGUCUCCAAGGAGGUGGUGGGUGGUGGGUAUAUUUACUAGUAGGUGGAGUUUUGUUGCUGUUUGUAGUAUCAGCUUCUUUUAGCUUUUCUUUUCUUUUCUCUCCUACUUGUAUUGGGUUGAAGUACCCAUUGUACUUCACUUCAAUAUAUUCAUCUUGCUUAUAAAAAAAAAUGUGAAAAAAUAACAGCGAAAUGUGCGGAACUUUAAAAGGGUCAAACUUGGUGUGAGUACGGUACAUUCCAAAAGAAAUAAAUGAAGAGGAGGCAAAUGGGUCAAACAUAGAAAACAUUAAUAAAAGUAAAUCAAACUUGAGCUGAAAAUGGAAAGUGGUGCAGUUUGUAUGUAUGAAGAGGGCAAGAUCGAGACAAUGAGAAAAGAGGAGAGAUUCCUUGCUUCCUUAGGAUGUCAAGGGGCUGCACACUGAUCAGCUGCAUGCUGCACAUUGCUUUGAUCAUAUUGAUAGAAACAUGACAGUGCAAGGAUCAAAGGGGAACCAGAGAUCUCGAGGAACAUAAGCUAAGAAGAAGAAAGUCUGGGUGGGAGCAGCAUAAAAAUCUUGGGAACCAGUCAACCAGAGAUCAUAGGGAGAGGGAAGUUUCGCCUAAUCUUUUUCUCUAGAGUUUCAAUCUUCUAAGAGGAUGUUACCACCCCUUUUUGCAUUUUUGGUUUCAUUCUAAUCUUUUGUUAGUUACUAUAUAUAAGUUUUAACCUUUAUUAAUCAGUUUCUUCUACAUCUACAUCGAUUUUGGAGUUAUGUGUUAUCAACUAAUUAUCAUUUCCUUUAGUUUUGUUAUUACUAUUACUACUAUUACUAUUAAUCAUUGUUGGUCGUAUGUGUGUCUUGUGCUUCGUUGAUCUUAAUGAUAUGUUAUUUCAUCUUAUUGGCUACUUAGAUAUUUUUUUGGGUGUGAUAUUUGAAUUAGGUGAUUUAAUAAAUUAUUGACAUAUGGUAAUUUAAGUAAUAAUUUUCACAUUUUUCACGAAGAUUUUUUUAGCGAAAUAGUUAAAAGUCCAAAGACCUAAAUAAAAUAAAAAGUUUAAUAAUUACUACGGUAAAUGAGUAAACAUUCAAUAUCAAUUUAAAGAUUUGAAGUUUUUAGGAUUAGAGUUCUUAGGUUUCAAUUGUUGGGCACAUCGACAUUGUUUGAACGACAAAGCUAGGAGGAGGUGCUUCAUCACCGCUGCUUUAUCAACGCCCGGUGGCUCGUCAUUGUUGCUUCGUCGUCUUGGUUUGUGUAAUUUGAACUAACCUGUAAGUCUUUUAUUUAAUUUAAAUGAUAGUUAAGGCAGAGAUUAUGACAAUUUCAAUUAUGAACAACUAUAUAGAUAAACUUUGUUUCAAUCAUGAACUAGAACAAAUAUUUCAAUCAGGUGAUCAAUAAGGGGGUUAUUCGUCGUUGAUGAAGAUCAUAGAUAAUUUAUUAAAAUUGAAAUCAAAAUGGGGAAAAAACGUCAUCACUCCAAGUUCUUUUCCUUCAUAAAAUAGCGGUACUUCAGAGAGGAGGGAUAAGAAGAACAAAGUAUAUGAACCGUGUUAUACUUGGGAGGGAAGACCGAUGGUUUCUUCACUUUAAGAAUUGAUGAUGCUAAACUCUAAUUUUUAUAAGUGAAAUGAUGUGUUCGUAACUAAUAUUUUCAUAAAUAAACAUCAGGAAAAUAUUAAUGUUGACUCAUCUUAAACGUGAGUCUUUAUUAUUAGAGUCAACUCAUUUUGGAUAUCACAUUUUAAGCUGGUUUAAAGCAGCGCAACAAGCACCUUAUAAAUAUUAGUCUUGUUAAAUUGUAUACAACUCUUUUGAUAUAAUUGUAAAAAAAAUCAAAAACUAUACUUUUUUAUAUUUUAAUUCAAAUUUUAUGUAUAUCAUUAAACUAUCCAUAUUUACUAUAUUAUGUUAUUUCCCUCUUUGCUCUUUAUUUUACUCAUGCUGUUUUCUUCUUAUUGUUUGUCUACUCUCUUAAAUUUUUCUACAUUUUAGCUUAGAAAAUCAUAUUUAUAAUGUAAGGAUAUUCAAUUUUAACACAAUAGACUCAUGAGAGGGGAAAUGGAUUAUAAUGAAGAUAAGUAGAGAAAGUACUAUUAAAAAAAUUAUGACAUUCCUAUCAAUUAGUUUAUCCAUCAAUGCUUUUUUAUUGAACGAAUCCAUCAAUGAUUGAUGUGUGAUCAGUGGGUGUUUGGAUUUCAAUACGAAGAACAAAUUGUUUGGUUACAAUGUUACAUGCAUAUGAAGAACAAAAUUUAGUGAAUAUGAGUUUGCAAAUAGUGUUUGAUUAAAGUAGGUUAGUUGUUAUAAAUGAUUCUGGUUUUUUUUUUUCAAAAGCACUAUUAGUUAAAAGGGCUUUCAACUUGUAUAGCUAAUAAAAAGACAAUUAAUGCCCCCAACAAACCCAAAUGAAAGUAAAAGUGACAAUAUGAGUUGAGAUAAAAAUUGAAUUAGGAUUAAAAGUGAGGUGAGCGAAUGUGAAUUUGCUAAACACAAUAUUACACGAGACCCAAAUAUGCUGGAAAAUAAACAUACCCUUAGUUAGACACAAAUGUAGUAGUACUGGAAAAUUAACAUACCCUUUAGUUGUAAUGGAAAAUGAGACUUCUAAAUAAUAACUUCAUUCCUUUUUUUUAAAUCAGUUUUCAUACCGUAAGAGAAAACAGUUUUCAUACCUAAACUUAUUCAGAAAACUCCUCAUCUAAAUUUUCCGCAAGUAUCCGAGAAAAAGUUAUUUAAAAAAUUAAGAACUAAAUAUUGAGACACUUUUUAGUUUUUACAUCUGAAAGAAAUCCAAAACUGAGCCCCUGUGGCAAUCUAAGAACCCUAUGUUCCUUUAAAAAAAAAAAAAAAAAACCACAAAAGAGUCUUGAAAAGAAAAAACAAGUUACCAAAAAUAAAAAAAUAAAAAGACACCAGGAUCCCAACUUGGCAGCAAUUUGUGAACUGUAAGCACAUGGUUAAGAGCAAUAUCUCAGCAGCAGGUCGAAUAAUAUAACAAUUAUAUCCAAAAUGGAUGAUUAAAACCCUGUUUGUUAGAUGAUCAAUGAAUGGAAGAAAGAAAAGAAUCUCCAAAUGACUAGAGAAACCUUUUAUUUUUUCCACCCAUACACCUCUACCAAACAUUGCCUUACAAUUUACAAACCACUGAAGUACUGGUGUGUCACUGCAUGGUUCUAAGAAACAAUACAAGAUGGGAGGAUAAUUCUAAGUAAGAAAAUAAAGGAUUUUUUGAGAAGCUAAGGUAUUUGGAACAAGCUAGUAUGGACAGUAAUAUACAAGCCGCAUAUGGAAGAAGUGUGUAGCUUCCACAACCCUAAUUUUCCUUCUCCUAAUCUAACUAUAUAUAGUGGCCAAAGAUUGACUUUUGAUUCUAUGACAAUUCUACCCUUGCAUUGUGUUGAAGACCAUGGGUGAGGAUGAGUGGCUUUUUAGUCAUUUAGAGAAAUGGGUAUAUCUACCGACAUCAACAAACUUACUAUAAAUUUGCCGUCAAGAUUGUAAUUAAAGCAUCAGCAUCUAUUUUUUCAUAAUUAAUUAUAAAAUUCAGAAGUUACUCACCUAACAUUUUCUCAAGAACUGAUUCGGACGGGAUAAUUGUAGAAGAAUUUCCAACAAUGUAAUUAUUAAAACAUUGUUACACAAGGAGAUGAAGUGACACAGUUAUUUUAAUUUCUGCAAGAUCUAAAUCUAACAAAUCUAAACACCCAUUAAAUUAUUUCACACAUUUUUAUUUUAUAUUAAUAUAUUUUAAAGUAAUGAAUUACUUACUAAUUGACUAAUUUAGUACACUGAUUGCAAGAGCCAACUCUUAUCUUUGAUCUUGUACUUUCUAGUUACAAGUGGCUGCAACUUUCUUUUGUGAAAAUUUUCUGGACAGAGAGCUGUGUAUUUGCAUAAGACAAUUAAGAUACCUUCUCAAGAUAAUAACAAUACUAGGAGGGCAUAAACUACAGAUGUUGCUGCUGGAUAUGAAUCUUAAACAUAUUCAAGUUCUUAAACAUUACAAUACAUUCCAAAAUAUAGACUAGUUGUCAAAAAAUGGAUUUGAAAUGGAAAACUUGGUUCUUGUUUGGGAACCAGGCUGGGGGAAACUUCAGAUGAAAUUGGAACUUGAGGCAGCACAGAAGCACCCAUGCCAGAAAGAACAAUUGGAUCUCCAACUGGAAAUAUUUACAUGACAUCUGUACCCUUCUGUUGGAGCACAGUUUUGAAAGCAACUUCACCAGCUAAAUUUAUAUAGUAUGUUACCUGUAAUGGGAAGAUAUAUUAGUUGUGCUGCAGAGUAAAUUUAGACAUUUGGCAUGAUUUCUAAGAUCCAGUGUAUUUAACCAAUUAUGCCAUGCAUAAUAUGACUUAAAAAUUUCAUCCAACAUCCAUUUUAAUGAUUAAAGGAUUCCCUAUAGUAAAGGAAAAUCUUAAUCGCGCGUCGUUGAUGAAUCUUAAUUGUUCAAUCAAGAUCGAACGGCUCAGAUUUUACGCUAUCUUUGCCAUUUGAUGUUGAUGGGAGUUGUUCGAUUUUGACAAACAGAUCAGAUUAGUAAAUGCGUGAAUUUAGGAUUGCCCUAACUGCAGAGAACCAAAUCCCACUUUAAUGUACUAAGAAUAAAGAUCCAUGUCAAAAUCAAUUUGGAAUAAUUAGAGGAAUGAGGCUAUGAAUAUCAAGAUACGCUAAUUUUACAGAAAAAUUCAUGAAUGAUAACAGCAUAUAGUCAUUACUCACAAUUUGCAUUGAGCUGACUCGGUGGAGAAGGAAUCCAUUAGCCAAUAAAAGGGUGCAAAUUACAAAGGAAGAAUUCAUAAGUUUUGUAACAGAUGUUAAGUAAAGCACAUAAACUGGGAUUCAAAGUGAAUACUUACCUGCUAUAGUGAGAAUUCCCAUUUAGAAAAAUUGAAUAAUGUUCUUUCUUAACUAGGCCAGGGUUUCCAAUGUAAGCAAGACUACCGUCAAUUGCAUUGGAAAAGAAAGUUCGAUCCUGUACUGACCAUACCAGUUACUACUACUGUUUGCUUCCAAUGUUCUGAUCAGCCAAUGCAAUUGAUUGUUUCUGUUGCCACUUAACGACCCCCUUCAGACAGAGUCCUUCAGCAUCAGAAAAGAAACAGAUAAGAGAAAGAUACUAAAGUCUAUAGCAAUGCUAGGACAAAGUAAAAGUGGCUAUGAACAGAUGCCUUAAUGAUAUCUGAUGUUAAGUUCAGCAAACAUGGAAAUAUUUUUAUGGACAAAUAAAUACAUACUUGCAGUAAUUGAGUAUCCAACACAUGAGCUUCUUUUGGUUUAUACAGCUCAAACUUUUUCAGCCAAUACUCUUCUGUCUCAUUCUUUGGCUUCCUGAAUAUGCUGCCUACUAUCCCUUUCCAAGGCCAAACAAACCUCUCUUCUGAGAUUGCCUGCUCAUUGUCCAUUUCCAACUGAUGUGUUACACUCGGGAAGGAAGACUGAUGGUCUCUUCACUUUAAGAGUUGAUGAUGCUAAACUCUAAUUUUUAAUAAGUGAAAUGAUGUGUUCGUAACUAAUAUUUUUCAUAAAUAAACAUUGGGAAAAUAUUAACGUUUACUCAUUUUAAAUGUGAGUCUUUAUUAUUCGAGUAAACUCAUUUUGAGAGUAGCAUAACAAGCAUCAUAUAAAUAUUAGUCCCGCUAAAUCGUAUACAACUCUCUUGAUAUGUAUAGUUUUGUAUAAUUGUAAAAAAGAUUAAAACUAAACUUUUUAUAUUUUAAUUCAAAUUUUAUGUAUAUUAUUAAACUUAUCCAUAUUUAGGCCUCGUUUGAAAGAGCUUAUUUGAGCUUAUCUGAUAGCAUAAGCUCUUAUGUCAGUGUUUGGGAGAGCUUAUGCAAACAGCUUAUAGUAGGCCAUAAGCUGUUUUGAGCUUAUUUUCAUAAGCUACUCAGGAUAGCUUAUAAAAAAGAGUUUAUGCUUAUAUAUAGCUUAUUUUUAAUUUUUUUAAAAUAACAUAUGAAUAAACUGUCAUAAGCGCUUAAUUAAACAUACCCUUAGUUAGACCCAAAUGUAGUAGUAGUAGUACUGGAAAAUUAACAUACCCUUUAGUUGUAAUGGAAAAUGAGACUUCUAAAUAAUAACUUCAUGCCUUUUUUAAAAUCAGUUUUCAUACAGUAAAAGAAAACAGUUUUCAUACCAAAACUUAUUCAGAAAUCUCCUCCCCUAAAUAUUGAGACACAUCUUAAAUCUGAGUUUCUGUGGCAAUCUAAGAAGUAAGAACCCUAUGUUCAACAAAAUACUCUUCCUUUCAAAAAAAAAAACUCUUGAAAAGAAAAACAAAUUACCAAUAAUAAAAAAUAUAAAAAGACACCAGGAUCUAACUUUGCAGCAAUUUGUGAACUGUAAGCCCAUGGUAAAGACUGAAGAGCAAUUUCUCAGCAGCAAUUAUAUCCAAAUAAUUAAAACUCAGUUUGUUAGAUGAUGUAUGGAUGGAAGAAAGAAAAGCAUCUCCAAAUGACCAGAGAAGCCUUUUCUUUUUUCCAGCCAUACACCUCUACCAAACAUUGCCUUACAAACCACUGAAGUACUGGUGUGUGUCACUGCAUGGUUCAAAGCAACAAUACAAGAUGGUAGGAUAAUUCUAAGUAAGAAACUAAAGGAUUUUGGAGAAGCUAAUGUAUUUGGAACAAGGUUGUAUGGACAGUGGAGUAUAAGCCGCAUAAGGAAGAAGUGUGUAGCUUCCACAACCCUAAUUUUCCUUCUCCUAAUCUUUACUAUAUAUAGUGGCUAAAGUUUGACUUCUGAUUCUAUGACAAUUCUACCCUUGCAUGAUGUUGAAGACCAUGGGUGAGGAUGAGUGGCUUUUUAGUCAUUUAGAGAAAUGGGUAUAUCUACCUUCACCAACAAUCUUAUAAAUUUAUCAAAUUUGGAUCAAGAUUGUGAUUAAAGCAUCAACAUCUAUUUUAUUUUAUAAUUAAUUACAAAAUUCAGAUUUUUUUUUUGACGGGCUAAAAUUCAGAAGUUACUCACCUAAGGGCCCGUUUGAUGCGACGUAUAGUAUAAGGCCUGAUAGUAUAAGGCCUGAUAGUAUUAUGCCUGAUAGUAUAAGCCCUGAUAACUUUCUUAUACUAUCCAGCGUUUGGACAUACACUGUAUAAUUUACCAUAUCGUUUAAAUUAAUGCAAUUUUAUGUUUAAUGAAGUAUUGAAUAAUGAUAUAAAAUAAAAAUCAAAUAUGGAGGUGAUUAUAACGGUGGUGGCGGUGGUGAUGGAAGUAGUGGUAGGUUGGUGGUGGUGGUGUCAAUGGUGGUAGGUUGGUGUUGGUGGCGGUGGCAGUGACAGUGGAGAUAGGUUGGUGGUGGUGGUGGCAGCGAUGGUGGUUGUGGUGGUGGUGAUGAUAGGGUGGUGGUUGUGGUGGUGGUGAUGAUAGGGUGGUGGUGGUGGUGGUAAGGUGGUGGCGGCUACAGUGGAGGGUGGAGGCAAUGGUGGUGGUGGUGGUGGUGGUGGCGAUAGGGUGGUGGUUGUGGUGGUGGUAGGGCGGCGGCGGUGGCGGCGGCGGCGGUGAUCGGAUGGUGGUGGUGGUGGUGCCAAUGGUGGUGUAAGUUGGCAGCAAUAGAGGGUGGUGGUGAUGGUGACUUAUACGUCACAACCUUAUCAUGCCUUAUCCAUCACUCACAUGAUGGAUUAAAUAAUACGUGAUUUUAACGUAUAAGGGGACUUUGAUGGAUAAGCUUAUACAAUACAAUGUCAUCACCAAACAAUGGAUAAACUCAUAAUGUAUUGUAUAAGCUUAUACUAUCAUGCCUAAUACGGCGUGCCAAACGAGCCCUAAGAUUUCCUUAAGAAUUGAUUCUUACUCGGAAGUUAAUUGUAGAAAGAUUUCCAUCAGUGUAAUUAAUAAAACAAUGUUACACACAAGGCGAUGAAGUGACUUUUAAUGAUGGGAUCUAACCAUGCAGUUAUUUUUAUUUCUGCAAGAUCCAAAUCUAACAAAUCUAAACACCCAUUAAAUUAUUUCACACAUUUUUAUUUUAUAUUAAUAUAUUUUAAAGUAAUGAAUUACUUACUAAUUACUAAUUUAGUACACUGAUUGCAAGAGCAACUCUUUACUUUGAUCUUGCCCUUUCUAGUUACAAGUGGCUGCAACUUUAUUUUGUGAAAAUGUUGUCUGCACAGAGAGCUGUGUAUUUGCAUUAGACAAUUAAGAUACCUUCUCAAGAUCAUAACAAUACUUGGAAGGAAUAAACUACAAAUCCUGCUGCUGGACAUGAAUCUUGAACAUAGUCAAGUUCUUAAACAUUACAAUACAUUCCAAAAUAUAGACUUAGUUGUCAAAAAUGGAUUUGAAAUGAAAAACUUGUUCUUGUUUGGGAAGCAGGCUGGGGAAAACUUCAGAUGAAAUUGGAACUUGAGGCAGCACAGAAGCACCAAUGCCAGAAAGAAUAAUUGGAUCUCCAACUGGAAAUAUUUACAUAACAUCUGUACCCUUCUGUUGGAGCACAUUUUUGAAAGCAACUUCACCAACUAAAUUUAUAUAGUAGGUUACCUGUAAUGGGAAGAUCAUAUGAAGAGUAAAUUUAGACAUUUGGCAUGAUUACUAAGAUCCGUUGUAUUUAACCAAUUAUGCCAUGCAUAAUAUGACUUAAAAAUUUCAUGCAACAUUCAUUUUGAUGUGCCGAGAAUAAAUAUAUAUAAAAAACAAUUUGGAAUAAGAGCAAUGAGGCAAUAAAUAUCCAAAUCCAUCAACUUUUGAUAAAAAAAAUCACAGAUGAUAACCGCACAGUUUGUUACCCACAAUUUGCAUUGAGCUGACUCGGUGAAGAAGGAAUCCAUUAGCCAAUUCUCUAGCAGGAUUCAAAUAUAAAGGAACGAUUCAUGAGUUUUGGUCACAGAUGUUGAGUAAAGCACAAAAACUGGGACUGAGUGAAUAUUUACCUGCUAUAGUGAGAGUUUCCAUUUAGAAAAAUUGAAUAAGGCUCUUUCUCAACUAGGCCAGGGUUCCCUAUGUAAGCAACACUACCAUCAUUGCCAUGGUUAGUGCAAUCCUGUCCACUCAGGUAUACAUUCUGAGGUGUAAAUACAAGGAUGAAUGUCAUAUCAGAGUCAGUGUAGUUAACAUGUCAAAACUUUAGCAUUUGAAAAUUUUCCAAACAUAAUAGCUGCUUUGCACUUACUACUGCAAAUUUCAGAAACAUACGGUGAAAAUACUCAAAAACUUGCUUCUUCUUCAUUUGCUCCUUAUUAUUCUCUCCACAGAUGAUAAGUGGUUGGUAUCCAACAACAAUGCGCCUGAAGUUACCAAAGAGACAAAGUGUUUAUCAAAAACUGGAAUUAUUUGUAUUGUCACAUGAACUUGAAAUAAUGCAGGUUGUUGAGAAAUCAUCAUGUUUUUAGCAUAAUCCUGUCAGAUUUUGAAAAAAUUGGGUUGGAAAAGGAAGUUUGAUUCCAUAGUGAUCAUACCAGUUACUACUGUUUGCUUCCAAUGUUCUGAUCAGCAAAUGCAAUUUAUUAUUUCUAUUGCCACUUAAUGAUCCCCUUAAGACAGAGUCCUUCAGCAUCAGAAAAGAAACAAAUUAGAGAAAGAUACUAAAGUCUAUUAUAAGUCUAUAUCAAUGAUAGGACAAAGUAAAAGUGGCUAUGAACAAAUGCCUUAAUGAUAUCUGAUGAUAGGUUCAGCAACCAUAGAAAUAUAUUUAUGAACACAUAAAUACAUACUUGCAGUAAUUGAGUAUCCACACCGAUAACGUCUAAGGUUUUCCCAUUAGAUAUCUUGAUCUUCUUUUCAAAGCAAACCGCUUCUUGUCCUUCUGAUUUUGAGGCUGCAGUAGUGUAGGUGUUGUACCUGCACACUAACUCUCUUCAUAACUAUCCCAUUUAGCAGAAUUGACAAAGGAUGGUGAUUUUCUCAAACAAUACAUUGGAAUUCAAGACUCUGCAGCCACAAAUUUCUGUGUCAUAUGUACCAAUACAGAUAACAGAUUGCUCAGAGGAUUGUAUACCAGGGAAUUCUCAAUGAUGGAAAAUGUUGAGUAGCCUGUAAAAGAAAUAUACCAUGACUCUUAAUUGAAAACAAUGAAACAAUUUGCCAUUGCAAUAAAACCAAAAGCAACCAUAACCAUAGUUUCAAAUUAUGGACCUUAUCACACAACCGCGACAGCAUUUGCAAUUUGAAAUCUGAAGAAACCUCUCAAAUUGCAUGCCACUACAUAAGAAAUCUAUUUCUACAAACAGCAAAAAGCUAGAAAGGUCACAGAAAAAAAUUAUAUAAACAAAAGAACAUACAUUCUGCAUGAGAGGAUCAUCUUCCCCAAGCUCACUGCUGCUCACAACAAAACUUGCCUUGUAAAUUCUGGCCACCUUCUCCAUCUUCAUGAACACCAGGAAGUAAGAGAGAGGUCAGAAAGGUGAGCAGAAUGAAAAAAAGUUAAAGCAACCAACCAAGUACACUGAAGAAACUAAAGCAUGUUAAUUAAGGAAAAGAAAAACAGAAAAAGAUCCAAAUAUAUGCUUCAUUCAUCCUGUCUUGGGCCAUUCCUUCCAAACAAAUAAAAGGGAAGCAAGAAAAUGUUGGAACAAUGCAACUUCAAAUUUCCAAAGCAUAAACAAAAUUGGGUUGAACAUGAAAAUCCACCAUUGACAAACACCCAUUAAGAAGAAAAUCAUGAAAAACAUCCAACAAACUGUUAAAAUGCUAGCUUAGUGAAGAGAGAGCUAAUAAUCUACCUGCUUGAGAAGAUGGAAUUGCUGGAAAUGGGGUCUGAAACCCCCUCUGACACUGAUGAAGUAGAGAUCAAAAGGUUCAUGGCCACUUGCAUUUGUUUUGACCAAUUUCUGAGGUUGACC
rnacentral:lncRNA from 1 species